UACGGAGGGGGCUAGCGUUGUUCGGAAUCACUGGGCGUAAAGCGCACGUAGGCGGAUCUUUAAGUCAGAGGUGAAAUCCUGGAGCUCAACUCCAGAACUGCCUUUGAUACUGGGGAUCUCGAGUCCGGGAGAGGUGAGUGGAACUGCGAGUGUAGAGGUGAAAUUCGUAGAUAUUCGCAAGAACACCAGUGGCGAAGGCGGCUCACUGGCCCGGUACUGACGCUGAGGUGCGAAAGCGUGGGGAGCAAACAGG
rnacentral:rRNA from 1 species